rnacentral:rRNA from 1 species
CCAGACUCCUACGGGAGGCAGCAGUGAGGAAUAUUGGUCAAUGGUCGGGAGACUGAACCAGCCAAGCCGCGUGAGGGAUGAAGGUACAGAGUAUCGUAAACCUCUUUUGUCAGGGAACAAAGGCGGGGACGUGUCCCCGGAUGAGUGUACCUGAAGAAAAAGCAUCGGCUAACUCCGUGCCAGCAGCCGCGGUAAUACGGAGGAUGCGAGCGUUAUCCGGAUUUAUUGGGUUUAAAGGGUGCGUAGGCGGGAUGCCAAGUCAGCGGUAAAAAUGCGGUGCUCAACGCCGUCGAGCCGUUGAAACUGGCGUUCUUGAGUGGGCGAGAAGUAUGCGGAAUGCGUGGUGUAGCGGUGAAAUGCAUAGAUAUCGCGCAGAACCCCGAUUGCGAAGGCAGCGUGCCGUGCCGCCACUGACGCUGAGGCACGAAAGCGCGGGGAUCGAACAGGAUUAGAUACCCGCGUAAC